AGGGCUGUGUCUCUUUCCUUUGUAGAAUUCCAUGCUCUGCCUGAGGUCUGUUAAGGACUAAUAUGGAAAUCUCAGCUCAUAGAGACCCCUCCGGAAGUUCUUCACAUUACUAGAAGUGAGUGUGAAAGAACUGGCUAUUCAAGAGAGUGUUGGAGAUUCUGGCAAGCAGAGAUUCUUCGGAGCCCAGGUGGAAAGUGAAGCGCUGAGUUGGGGAGAAAUGCUCAUGCCUUCUGCAGACUGUAAGUUUUGGGAGCUUCUGGAGGCAACUCCCUUGGCAGGCGUGUUGGAGUUCUCCGGGCCAGCAGUGCCAGAAAUGAGGAUUCUCAGGCCUGAGUCUGUGCAUCAUAGGAUAUCAUGCUGCUGCUUUAAGCAACUGAGCUUCUUCAAUUUUUUGAGGAGUCCUUGGCCACUCCAGGCUCUUGCUUCUCCAUGACAAGGGGCAGAGCAGAGAUAGCUUCUGACUUAGAACCUCAGAUGGAUCAGUCAGCCAUGGACUAUUCCCAUCUUUGCUAUGAGAAGUGGCUUUCUGGUGGGGAUUGUGUUGAGGGUUGGGUUGUUCUGAUUACAAGAAGAGCAGAGACUCUGCAGAGGGGUGGAGAAUGUUUUAGCCAAUAUUGUCCAAAUCCAUUCCAUUUCGAGGUAAAUGGGGAAGAAACAAAAAGACCCACAUAGUAAUCUCCACAGAGAACCACACUGAACCUUUGUAGGCAGGUAGGAAGAGAGUUAUCUCCCCUUUCCUUUACUCCUCCCCUCUCCUCUCCACCCUCCCUUUUUCUCUUCCAUUCUCUCCUCUCCUUUUUUUUCUUCUUCACCUCUUCUCUCCUUUCUUUUUUUACUUUCUCUCACAGUUUAUGUUUCUAAGAAGCAAAUGUUAAAAGUAACAGAAAACAGUGAACUAUAAUCCUUGUCAGCUUUGAUUGAAACUAUAUUAGUCAGUUUCCAAGGAGGAACACAGGAAACUCCCUGAGUAUGUAAAAUAGUGGAAGCUUAAUAGAAGGACUUGAUUAUAUGCAUGAUGAGAGAUCUGAGAAAUGAAACAGAAGAUAGAGAGGCAACCCAGAGAUUAGCAACAAAGAAAGCCAUGCCAAGAGAGACUAAGGGAGGGACAUUUUUAUGGGAUCCCAGGGAUUGAGGGUCAUCCAGUGGAAUUUGGAACUGUGGCUUGGCCUUUCCUGCCAUGAAGGCAUGCUGGAGACACAGCCUGAAGAAAACAGAGAGGUAGAAAUAUCGGGCAUUUCCUUUUUUCCUGCUCUCCAAUUUCCCCACAAGUUACCUCUCUUUAGCAAAUGCCAGAGGCCCACUGGGAACUUGGGGAAGGCAGCCUGCAGGAGUCAGCACAUCCUUGUUACAGAGCAAAACAUGGUGCCAGGGAAGAAUAGAUUUGAGAACAAACACACAAAGGAGCAUCCUGCUCUACUUUAUAGGAGGAGGCUUCUAGGUAAUGUGACAGAGGGUGUGUGUGUGUGUGUGCGUGUGUGCACGUGUGUGUGUGUGUGUGUGUGUGUGUUAUGAGUGGUGGUGGUGGUGCGGUGGGAGUUUCUCAAAUUGAGAGAAAUUUAUAACUUUACUGCUAGAAGAGUUUAUGCUGGCUUGAUACUCAACUUUCAGACCAAGAGAUCAUAUUCAAAGUGAAUUCAUUUCACAGACUUCAAUAAACAUUACACUCUGCCACCAGUUCAACUGAGCUUAUCUAAGAUUGUAUUCAAAAUGAGUGAUAGAAGAUAGAAUUUUUUUUCUAAAAUGCGGAAACAGCCAAACAGUUGAAUCAAAUGAUGCUUGGUCUUUACACUGAAAUGGUAAUACUCAUUUCUCUUUAUAGUAAUUGUGCAAGAAUUAAACUUAGAGGAAGCAGAUGUGUUUAAUGUAUUCAUGAUGUUGUCACCAAGGAUAGCAAAUUCAUUUGGAUAAAAUACAAAUUUGCAUAAAGGUUAACAUAAAAAUCAACUAUUUAAGCAUUGAAAAUAUUUAAUUAAUCUUUUUUUCUUUUUUAUUUUUAUGUGUCUCUUGCUUUUUCUGUUUUCAGCCAAGAGAGACAGUACUGAAAUGUCAUUUUAAAAAUGUUGAUUUUGCAGUAUUUCUCUGCCCUUGGGAACAGGAAAUACCUAGAAUUCUGCUAGUAAGAUGGUUCUCAUGAAAUGUCUAGUGUAAUUUUUAUAAUGAGGGGGAUUAAAUAUGUUUGGAUGAAUAUCCAACUUUGAGAACUUUGUCACCCUGAUACUUCAGACCCAUUGACGUUUUCCCAAAAUGUUCCCUCUUCCAUAUGUUAGGGAAUUACAUUUAAGAGCGAGUAAUGAGGAUAAUUGAGUCUGUGCUGGUUUUGGAUUUCAUACUCCUUAUGAAUGUGAAAUAGAUUAAAUAAAGGACACUUGAGAAGUAAUGAAUUCCAAAAAUAAUAUCAAUUGUUGUACCAAAAGCUGAGCAAGUGACUUUUCUACAGCAUUAAAGUGGUGUUGACCUUUUCUCUUCAGAAAGAGAGAAGUUGGGGCUAGGUAGUAAGUAACAGUCAGC
ensembl:lncRNA novel transcript